GAUCAUUUUAUGUGGUUGUAUUUAUCCACGAUACCUUAAAGGCCGCUCCGUGUCUGACAUAAACCAGUCUGUGGCGCAAAAAAGGUUGGGGACCGCUGCUGUACAGCAUGAGGGUUAAUAGGACCGUACUCAUAUAAAUAUGAUGUGUAAAUUGAUUUAUUCUUGUACAUCCACGCCGUAGCGGCCCAAUUCUUCACCCCAGUGAAGAGGUGAUUGUUUUCUCCUCGUUUUAAUAAAUUAAGCUGUUUGGUCUUUGUUCCCCACAACAUAUCACCAAUUCGAAAAAAUCAAAAUUAGCUGUAUGUAAGCGGCAAUACAUGAAAAAUCACGGGACCCCCGAUACAAGCUGGUUUACGGUUAUUUUAAAGAAAAGAAACAUGUCUAUGCAGAUGCCCAAAGCUUAACAAAACGACCGCUAUAACAAUUUAACUUUUGUACAACCAGAUUUUCAUAUACUUACAUUUGAAAAUGUUUUCCUCUCCUGCUUCGACCACCAUCGUUAUCAGAAACAAAUCUCCUCUAUGACCCGCAAUGAAUCCUGGGAUAUAGUAGGACAUGAAGGACACAUCAGACCAUCCUUAGAAUUCAGGGCAAAGUAGGAUGCAUUUGUCGCCACAUUUUGAGUACUCUUUGAAUUCGGACAGCCUUCGUCGCGUUGCCAUGACGUCAUUGCCUCCAAAUAUGGCAUUGGCGCAUCCUUCCCCUGAAUUCGGACACGACUAACCCUCAAAUUCGUGGAAAAGUAGGACACAUUUGUCGCCACAUUUUGAGUGCUCUUUGAAUUCGGACAGUCCUAGUCGCGUCACUGUGACGUCAUUGCCUCCAAAUAUGGCAUUUUAAGCAUCCUUCCCCUGAAUUCGGACACAGCCUCUGCCACACAACAAGCAGAUGGACUCCAGCAGUUGUGGAGUUUUAGUAACGAACAUUUAAUAAGCAAUUGUAUUUAAUUAUAGAUAACUAGAAUUAAGUUAAUCAAUUGCAAUUACUGUAACAUAUUUUACAGUUUGCCGAACACUACCUUCUGAGUGGAGAGGUUACUAGGGUGCUGUCCUCUCCAGAAGCCGUUGGGCUGCAACGCACUGAAAUUGCUUGCGAACUGCUAGAACAUCAAGGUAAUGCUGAUGACUACUGUGUGGUUUGUUCCAUGCUGGAAGGUGAUGCUGAGUCCAGUAUGAUUGAAAUGGUGCAGUGUGACUUUUGUCUCAGAUGGGCACAUUUUGGAUGUGCUCAAUAUGAGAGCAGCCUGGUCAAGUACUUGUGUGAAAAAUGUGCAUAAUUUGUAAUGAAUACUGUUUCUUUUCCACUUCUUUCUCCCUGUGUUCUGUUGGAUCUGUAAAUAUCAUAUAUAUAUAUAUAUCUGUAAAUAUAUGCUGUCAGUCACAGUAAAGUACAAAGCGCAGCCUGGUCAAGUACUUGUGUGAAAAAUGUGCAUAAUUUGUUAUGAAUACUGUUUCUUUUUCAGUUCUUUCUCCCUGUGUUCUGUUGGAUCUGUAAAUGUCAAAUAUAUGUAUCUGUAAAUAUAUUCAGUAAAUAUAUACUGUAACUCUAAUGGAGUGAGUUCAUUGUCAAAGUUUAUAUAGUCAGUGUUAGGUUAGGGCUGUGUGCAGGCAGGAGUGGUAGCAGGAGGACCCAAAGUGCAGACGCUCGGAGGCAAAAGUGUAUUUCAAAAAAACUCAGCUUUAAUGCUGGAUGGCAAAAAGUAACAGAAAACCCAAAAAUACAAAAUAAACUUACACAGGCAGGCAGACGGAACACACAGCAAAAUAAACGGUAGAUCGCAACACGGAUAAACUGAAACACAGGGCUUAAAUACACAGAGGGAGCAAUCAGGGAAUGGGUAACAGGAGGGAAACACAGCUGGGGCAAAUCGGGCCUAACGAGACAAAAGAAGCACAACCAGACAAGGACUUUCAAAGUAAAACAGGAAACAUAACAGACUGAACUUACAGACACAGACUCACAGGC